rnacentral:rRNA from 1 species
GAUGAACGCUGGCGGCGUGCUUAACACAUGCAAGUCGAACGGUGAAGCUCAGCUUGCUGGGUGGAUCAGUGGCGAACGGGUGAGUAACACGUGAGCAACCUGCCCCGGACUCUGGGAUAAGCGCUGGAAACGGCGUCUAAUACCGGAUAUGACACGGAGAGGCAUCUCUACCGUGUGGAAAGUUUUUCGGUCUGGGAUGGACUCGCGGCCUAUCAGCUUGUUGGUGAGGUAGUGGCUCACCAAGGCGACGACGGGUAGCCGGCCUGAGAGGGCGACCGGCCACACUGGGACUGAGACACGGCCCAGACUCCUACGGGAGGCAGCAGUGGGGAAUAUUGUACAAUGGGCGCAAGCCUGAUGCAGCGACGCCGCGUGAGGGAUGACGGCCUUCGGGUUGUAAACCUCUUUCAGCAGGGAAGAAGCGCAAGUGACGGUACCUGCAGAAGAAGCACCGGCUAACUACGUGCCAGCAGCCGCCGUAAUAC